CUGGUCCUCACACUUGUACAAUCAACACUUUAUCUACUGAGCUUUCUUCCCCAACCCAUAGUUUUACAAGCAGGCGUUUUGCAGACUGUCUCAUCUUUCUCUCUGAGUGCUGCUUUAUUCUAUAAGUAAACAUAUUCUAUUUUUAUGAGCGCUUUUUAUAAUCUGUAUUUGCAUCUCUAUUAAAAACUGCAAAUAAUGAACAUUGAACUUGUGAGCUGUUAUGACAACUGUUGGUGGCAGGGGCUUGGGGGAACCAUUGAGUGGCAUUCAGACAACAGCUGGGGCUAGUCAUAUUCCAGAAACUUGGUUCUCACACUUGGGUACCUGGAGAGGAGCCUGGCCAUGUCAAGUCACAGCAGAUUGAGGUCAAUGAACUAGAAUGUUUAUUAAGAAUAGUUGACAUUGAAGCCAAGUGUCACAAUGAAACUAGAACCCCGAGCAACAGUCAGCAAGGUUCACUCUGAAGAGUGAGUGAUCAGAAUUGGUAUGAGGAGAAUGCCAUGAAGAAUGUUCUCCCUGGUGCCUGGAAGGAAUUUUACAGAAUUUCAUGAGUGGAUCAGGCUCACAGUGGGCAGUCAGUGCUGCAUUGAAGGAGGCUACAUGAUGGAACCCACCACGGUGAUCAGUAUUAACUGUUGGAUUGACAGGAUCUAGAACCACCUAGAAGAAAAGCCUGUGGGCACAACUGCGAGGGAUCAUCUAGGUUAGCCUUUGUGCAUGCUUGUGGAGAAUGAUAGUAGUUUCCUCAAUUGAGAUGGGAAGACCCGCCCACUAUGGGUGCUACCAUUCCUGGGCUUCAGUCCUAGACUGUAUAAAAGGAAGAAUGGAGACGAGCACAGGCAUUCAACACUCUUCUGAUUGUUGAUUGUGGAUGCGAUAUGACCAGCUGCCUUGACUUCCCUCGUAUGAUGCAGCUGUGAGUCAUUCAACCUUGAGUUGCUUUUGCCAGUAUAUUUACCACAGCAGCGGCAAAAGCAACUACGGCACGCACCCAUUUCUCCAUUUCACGGCAUUGCUACACAGGUUUUCACUGGAACUGGAAUAAACCAGGUCUUUGUGUCGCUCAGUAGUGAGCUCUCUAAUAAUAAUGAUGAUGAUGAUAGGAACAAUAACAAUUUUAGCUGACAGAACAAGAAAAUGCUUUUUUUUUUAAAUGAAAGGUGUUUUUAUUUGUA